CCCUGCUCUCACAUGGGUUUGUGACAAGACUCUCUAUCUCAACGCAAUCCCUGCUUACAAUGCCUUAUUUAAACCUUGCUCUCCUAUAAACUCUGCAUUAUUCACUCGAAACUGUCCCUUUCUUUCGUACUGUAACUUUUCACUUACAGAACUAAAACAGCAACAUUGGAAUUUCAGUUCAAGAGUCUCAUGAUGUCAUGUAAAACAAUCGAGGAACAAUAUGUUUUUGUGUUCUUGUGUCAAUUUUUAGCUAUUCCUCAGGUCACAGACAUUGCUGAAAAUUGUUGUGUGGUUGUGCUUUAAAAACAGUAAGAGUUGUUAAUUAAAUUUAAAGCUCUAAAACAACCCCAAU